GAAGGUGGCAAGCGUUGUUCGGAAUCACUGGGCUUAAAGCGCGCGUAGGCGGAAAUUCAAGUGUCUUGUGAAAUCCCUCGGCUUAACCGAGGAAUUGCUUGGCAAACUGAAUUUCUUGAGGCAAGUAGGGGUACAUGGAACUCUUGGUGGAGCGGUGGAAUGCGUAGAUAUCAAGAGGAACGCCAAAGGUGAAGACAGUGUACUGGGCUUGUCCUGACGCUGAGGUGCGAAAGCGUGGGGAGCGAACGGGGGAUUAGAUACCCCGGUAGUCCACGCCGUAAACGAUGUCUACUAGGUUGUGGGAGUUCUGACACUUUCACAGUCGAAGCAAAAGUGUUAAGUAGACCGCCUGGGGGAGUACGGUCGCAAGGCUAA
rnacentral:rRNA from 1 species